rnacentral:tRNA from 1 species
UGGCUCAGUGGUAGAGCGCUUGCCUAGGAAGCACAAGGCCCUGGGUUCAGUCCCCAG